GUCUUCUUGUUUUAUUUGGGAAGUCAGGCCUGCCCAGUGAUUGUUUUAACGGCCGCGGUAUUUUGACCGUGCAAAGGUAGCAUAAUCAUUAGUCUUUUAAUAGGAGGCUGGAAUGAAAGGUUUAACGAAACAUAAGCUGUCUCGUUUUUAUAACAUAUAAUUUAAUUUUUAAGUUAAAAAGCUUAACUUUUAUUGAAGGACGAGAAGACCCUAUAGAGCUUUACACUUACUUUUUUAGUACAAUUUGGUGUAUAGGUUUUUACUAUUUUUGUAAUUGUUUUGUUGGGGUGACAAAAAUAUAUGCGAAACUUUUUUAUUUUAUAAACAUAAAAUUUAUGGGUUUUAGAUCCAUUAUUAUUGAUUGUUAGAUUAAGUUACCUUAGGGAUAACAGCGUAAUCUUCUUUUGAAGUUCAAAUUUACAAGAAGGCUUGCGACCUCGAUGUUGGAUUAAGAUGAUUAUUAGGUGCAGUAGCUUAAUUAAUAGGUCUGUUCGACCUUUAAAAUCUUACAUGAUCUGAGUUCAGACCGG
rnacentral:rRNA from 1 species